rnacentral:misc_RNA from 1 species
UCAAAACAGCGGACUUCGGUCUUUGCUGCACCCUUGUCUUUUGCGCACCGAAUUGUUUCCUCGGCGGGCUGCCUGCCGGUUGGACAUUAUCAAAACCUUUUUGUAGUUGCAAUCAGCGUCAGAAAAAUCAUAAUUAUUA